rnacentral:rRNA from 1 species
GACAGAUGGGAGCUUGCUCCCUGAUGUUAGCGGCGGACGGGUGAGUAACACGUGGGUAACCUGCCUGUAAGACUGGGAUAACUCCGGGAAACCGGGGCUAAUACCGGAUGGUUGUUUGAACCGCAUGGUUCAAACAUAAAAGGUGGCUUCGGCUACCACUUACAGAUGGACCCGCGGCGCAUUAGCUAGUUGGUGAGGUAACGGCUCACCAAGGCAACGAUGCGUAGCCGACCUGAGAGGGUGAUCGGCCACACUGGGACUGAGACACGGCCCAGACUCCUACGGGAGGCAGCAGUAGGGAAUCUUCCGCAAUGGACAAAAGUCUGACGGAGCAACGCCCCGUGAGUGAUGAAGGUUUUCGGAUCGUAGGGCUCUGUUGUUAGGGAAGAACAAGUACCGUUCGAAUAGGGCGGUACCUUGACGGUACCUAACCAGAAAGCCACGGCUAACUACGUGCCAGCAGCCGCGGUAAUACGUAGGUGGCAAGCGUUGUCCGGAAUUAUUGGGCGUAAAGGGCUCGCA